ACCAUCGGUGGUUCAGUUGUAGAAUGCUCGCCUGCCACGCGGGCGGCCCGGGUUCGAUUCCCGUCGACUUAUCUGUGAUG
rnacentral:tRNA from 1 species